rnacentral:lncRNA from 1 species
UAGCUAUUUAACCACUCCCCAGCCCCCAGCCUGCAAAAAGGAAAUGGAAUUAAAUAGUCACCCUACGUGCAUGAAUACUAGUGUUUUGAUAGAUAAUUUUAUCAAUUGAUAGGCCACCGGUUAAAUACACUUAUUCUAGAAGAAACAAAAAGAGUGGAGGAGUGAGGGCAGUAACCAAUUCUGUUAGUGUAGCAGGGAGGGGUGAGUAAAUUCUGUUACGAAGACUAUAAAUAAGGGCUGAAUAAAAGUGUUUGGCAUGCAAAAAAAUUAAGUGAGGAAAACAUAGUGAGGAGAGUCUCAGCCCUCUCGAACGGCUGCUUAUGUUCGUCCCUUUAUUUCUUGUAAUUCAAUUUACUUCAAAUUAAUACAGUUUUCCUUUUCACCGCUACUUGCCUUUUAAUACAGCUAAACCCUAUCAAUCUGGUAUCAGAGCACUGCAACACCAAUCACCACCAUGACACUAGCCGAACGAGUUGGAGAAUUGGAGCAGAAGGUGGAUACUAAUCACCAAGAGCUUCAGAUGGGUAUUGAAUCACUCCGUUCGGAGUUCAAAAUGAUGCAUGUCGGGAUGACAGAGAGGUUCGAAAUGCUGAUGUGCAAUUGGGAUAUCCACGAGAAGGAGAGAAAGGAGAAGGGUCCGGCAACGGAGAAAUCACCGAUGAUGACUGUUGACUCCGGGUUAACACAGUUAAGACCCGGCAGCAGCCGAAGCAAUGAGGGAGGAUCGAGCAGUGACUGGCGUGGGGAGUCUCGGGUUCGGCGACUGCAGAUGCCCGUUUUUGAAGGGGGCGAUCUGGAUGGUUGGGUGUUUCGAGUAGAAAGGUAUUUUGGGAUUAAUAGGCUCACUGAAGAAGAGAAGGUGGAGGCGGCCGCCCUUUGUUUUGACGGCGAGGCAUUGGCAUGAUAUCAAUGGGAGGAGAAGCGUAAACCGAUGAGUAGUUGGGGAGAGGUGAAGACCCAGCUGCUAAGACGGUUUCGACCCUCUCAAGAAGGGUCUCUGUGUGCUCAAUUCUUGUCACUCCGGUAGAAUUCGACGGUUCGGGAAUACCGUCGACGGUUUGAGAUGUUGGCUUCUCCAUUGACAUCGGUGUCUGAAGAAGUCAUGGAGUGUAAUUUUCUUAAUGGACUCAAACCAGUUAUAAGGGCCGAAGUCCAACUGCAUAGGCCAGUGGGCUUGGAACAGAUUAUGGAGGUGGCCCAAAUGGUUGAAGACAAGAACUCCAUCAUCCACUCAGCUUCUGGUAACAUUGGCCCAAACAAACCCAAAGCCUUCCAUUAUAACAGCCCAAAUCCUUCUCAACCCACAAUCUUCCACACCCGAAACACGAUUCCAGUGAACCUUAAUCCUAUGCGCCCUAAUUUCUCCCCCAAAAAUUCCGCCAACUUUAAACGCCUCACUGACGCCGAGCUUCAAGCCAAGAAAGAGAAGGGAUUAUGCUAUAGAUGUGAUGAAAAAAUUACAAUUGGGCACAAAUGUAAGAAUAAGGAAUUGCAAGUAUUGGUCGUUCGAGAAAUGGAAGAAGGUGAGGUACGGACAGAGACAAUUCAAGCCGACGAACUGAGCUUCGGCUACAACGAAGGAGAAGGGAAACCAGUGUUGACCGAGGAAGAAGCCAUAGGACCGGGCCAGCCGGUUAAACUCUCCAUAAACUUUGUGGUCGGCCUUACAGCCCCGGGCACUAUGAAGCUGCUGGGAAGACUUGGCUCGAAGGAUGUGGUUGUUUUAGUGGAUAGUGGAGCAUCACACAAUUUUAUUUCGGCAGAAUUGGUCCAGCAGCUGGGUUACCCCCUAUCCAGUACAACAAGCUAUGGAGCGGUUAUGGGCACCGGCUUAACAGUAAAAGGGGAAGGGAUUUGCCGACGGGUGCCUUUGAAGCUGCUAGGGCUGUUGGUGGAAGAAGACUUCUUACCAUUAGAACUGGGCAGCUCCGAUGUCAUAUUGGGAAUACAAUGGCUCAGGUCCUUGGGAAAAAUGCAAGUGGAUUGGAAGGCCCUGAUUAUGUCUUUUGACGUCGGAGGAGCUAAAGUGACUCUGCAGGGGGACCCAAGCCUUAGCAAGACCCCUGUAUCAUUGAAGUCCAUGUUGAAAGCUUUUAAGGAGUAAGGGGAAGGCCUCUUAUUGGAAUUGGGAAGUAUCACCAUUAAUCCCAGUCCUGUCUCAGGCCUUCCGUCGGGAAUCAUUGCUGAUGUUCUGGAGGAGUUCAACUCAGUCUUCGAAUCCCCUACUCAGUUGCCACCAAAAAGAAAUCAAGAGCACGCAAUCACUUUGAAGGCAGGGGCAGAACUAGUCAGAGUGAGACCAUACCGUUACCCCCACUUCCAAAAGAAUGAGAUUGAGCAGUUGGUGAAAGAAAUGUUAGCUGCCGAAAUUAUCCAGAAUAGCACCAGCCCCUUUGCAAGUCCUGUACUGCUAGUAAGGAAGAAGGAUGGCAGUUGGCGAUUUUGCGUGGACUACAGGGCUUUAAACAAAGUCACUGUGCCCGACAAGUUUCCAAUUCCAGUAAUAGAUGAGUUACUGGAUGAGCUGAACGGAGCCACGGCAUUCUCAAAAAUCGACCUUAAGUCGGGAUAUCACCAAAUUCUAGUUAAGGUUGAAGAUGUGCCGAAGACUGCUUUCCGAACUCACGAGGGACAUUAUGAGUUCCUAGUCAUGCCCUUCGGCUUGACUAAUGCACCAGCCACUUUUCAGUCAGUCAUGAACUCCUUCUUCAGAGAGCAACUCCGGAAGUAUGUGUUAGUCUUUUUUGAUAACAUAUUGGUCUACAGUCGCACGGAGAUAGAGCAUCGGGAUCAUUUGCGGACGGUCUUAAGGAUCUUACCGGAAAACCAGUUUGUUGCAAAUAGGAAGAAAUGCUUAUUUGGACAAACAGAGAUAGAGUAUUUGGGUCACAUAAUCUCAGAAAAAGGAGUGGCGGCAGAUGAAUCAAAACUGAUGGCUAUGCGGGACUGGCCACAGCCUCAAACGAUCAAAGAGUUGCGAGGAUUCUUGGGGUUGACAAGGUAUUACCGGAGAUUUGUGGAGGGAUACGGAAAGAUAGCGUGGCCUCUAACCCAGCUAUUGAAGAUGGAUAGCUUCCGGUGGAAUGAUGCAGCAGAAUUGGCCUUUAGACAAUUAAAAGAAGCAAUGAUAAAAGUUCCAGUGUUGGCACUCCCUGAUUUCUCGCAGCCCUUCAUAAUGGAAACUGAUGCUUCUGGUCACGGAUUAGGAGCUGUCCUAAUGCAAAACCAGAGGCUAAUAGCCUAUUUCAGCCAAACACUCCCACCAAGAAGUCAGAAUAAAUCAGUUUAUGAACGGGAACUCAUGGCUAUUGUUAUGGCAGUACAAAAAUGGAGGCAUUACUUGCUGGGAAGAAGAUUCGUGGUCAGGACAGAUCAGAAGAGUCUUAAGUUUCUCAUGGAACAACGUUUAGUGAAUGUAGAAUAUUAGAAGUGGCUAACAAAGUUGCUGGGUUUUGACUUGGUGAUUGAGUACAAGCCGGGACUGGAGAAUAAGGCAGUAGACGCACUUUCGCAUAAAGGGGCAGCAGUUUCUUUAAUGGUUCUCAGCAUACCGAGUUAUCUGCAUCUCAAUGAGAUAAGAAGGACAGUGGAAGAGGAUCCUGAGUUGGGUCGAAUUGUGACUGCCCUGAAAGACGAUUCCUCCUCUUGCCCAGGUUAUGCCCUAGUAAAUGAGGUCCUAUUGUAUAAAGACCGGAUAGCACUACCCAGAAAUUCUCCCUUCACUCUACUGGCAUUGAAGGAGGGACACGAUAGUAAGGUGGGGGGUCAUGGAGGUUUCCUCAAGACUUACAAAAGGAUAGCUGAGACUUUCCACUGGGUGGGUAUGAAGAAGGAGAUUAGGAAUUAUGUUGCUACCUGUGAAGUGUGUCAACAGCACAAAUAUUCCACUUUGGCGCCUGCAGGUCUAUUAUAGCCACUUCCUGUGCCAGAGAAAAUUUGGGAGGAUGUAUAUAUGGAUUUCAUAGAAGGAUUGCCCAGGUUAGAGGGAUACGAUCCCAUACUGGUUGUGGUAGACCGCUUGAGCAAAUAUGUCCACUUUAUUAGCUUGAAACAUCCAUUCACGGCACCAUCAGUGGCAGCGAUAUUUAUUAAAGAAGUGGUUCGGCUGCAUGGGAUCCCCAGUCAAUCGUGUCUGAUCGGGAUAAAGUAUUUGUGUGCCACUUUUGGAACGAGCUAUUUCGCCUACGGGGAACCAAACUGAGGGUCAGUACAGCUUAUCAUCCCCAAUCCGACGGCCAGACUGAAGUGGUGAAUAGGGUGAUUGAAACCUACUUGCGGUGCUUUGCUUCAUUCAGGCCGAAAGAAUGGGUCCGUUUCCUACCUUGGGCUGAGUUGUCUUAUAAUACAUCCUUCCAUGUGUCUGCACAACUAACGCCCUUCCGGGUAGUAUACGGACGAGACCCUCCCCCCUUGUUGCGUUUUGAAAAAGGAAUGACGGCUGUUUCAUCCUUAGAUCAACUAUUGACAGAGAGAGACAAAAUCUUGGACGAACUCAAGAUACAUUUGGCUAAAGCACAACAGCAGAUGAAGCACUCCGCUGAUAAGCACAGAAGGGCAGUGGAAUUCUCAACGGGUGACUGGGUUUAUUUGAAAAUGCGUCCUUACCAUCGCAAGACUCUAGCACGACGCGUUAGUGAGAAACUCUCCCCUCGAUACUAUGGACCAUUUAAAGUAAUAGCCAGGGUUGGAGUGGUAGCUUAUCGGUUGGAACUACUUUCGGGAACACAAAUUCAUCCAGUGUUUCACGUAUCACAAUUACGAAAAGCAAUGGGGGAGCAUCAUUUCUCUUUGGACUUGCCGAGCAACUUGGGGGCAAACUGGGAGUUAAUGGUUGAACCAGAAGCAGUGCUGGGAAUUAGAACAGUAGCACAAGGCACAACAGGCGGGCUGGAAGUACUUAUCCAAUGGAAGGGCUUACCUCCGCUAGAGGCUACGUGGGAACCAGGCUAUCUCAUCAACCAACAAUUUCCCUC